GUGCCAGCAGCCGCGGUAAUACGAGAGGCCCAAACGUUAUUCGGAUUUACUGGGCUUAAAGAGUUCGUAGGCGGUCUAGCAAGUGAGGUGUGAAAUCCCUUGGCUCAACCAAGGAAUUGCGCUUCAAACUGCUAGGCUCGAGGGAGAUAGAGGUGAGCAGAACUGAUGGUGGAGCGGUGAAAUGCGUUGAUAUCAUCAGGAAUACCAGAGGCGAAGGCGGCUCACUGGGUCUCUUCUGACGCUGAGGAACGAAAGCUAGGGGAGCAAACGGGAUUAGAAACCCGCGUAGUCC
rnacentral:rRNA from 1 species